rnacentral:rRNA from 1 species
GACGAACGCUGGCGGCGUGCCUAACACAUGCAAGUCGAACGCAGUGGGGACGGGUGAGUAACACGUGGGUAACCUCCCAUCAGAGGGGAUAACACUUGGAAACAGGCGCUAAACUGAUAUUGAAGGAUGGACCAGCGGUGCAUUAGCUAGUUGGGGAGGUAAAGGCUCACCAAGGCCACGAUGCAUAGCCGGCCUGAGAGUGUGACCGGCCACACUGGAAGUGAGACACGGCCCAGACUCCUACGGGAGGCAGCAGUGGGGAAUCUUCGGCAAUGGGCGAAAGUCUGACCGAGCCACGCCGCGUGGGUGAAGAAGGUUUUCGGGUCGUAAAGCUCUGUAGUUGGGGAAGCGGUAUCUACCCAAAAAGCCACGGCUAACUACGUGCCAGCAGCCGCGGUAAUAC